rnacentral:rRNA from 1 species
CCUGUUUAACAAAAACAUGUCUUUUUGAGUUAAUUUUAAAGUCUGACCUGCCCACUGAAUUUUAAAUGGCCGCAGUAUUUUAACUGUGCAAAGGUAGCAUAAUCAUUAGUCUUUUAAUUGAAGGCUGGUAUGAACGGUUGGACGAAGUAUAUACUGUUUCAUGUAAAUUUAUAAUAGAAUUUUAUAUUUUAGUCAAAAAGCUAAAAUAAUAUUAAAAGACGAGAAGACCCUAUAAAUCUUUAUAUUUAAUAGAAUUUAAAUUUUUUGGAUUUAUUUUAUUUUUAUCAUAUUAGAUAUUUUGUUGGGGUGAUGUUAAAAUUUAAUAAACUUUUAAUUAUUUAAGAUCAUUUAUUUAUGAAUUAUUGAUCCAUUAUUAGUGAUUAUAAGAUUAAGUUACUUUAGGGAUAACAGCGUAAUUUUUUUGGAGAGUUCAUAUCGAUAAAAAAGUUUGCGACCUCGAUGUUGGAUUAAGAUAUAUUUUUAGGUGUAGUUGCUUAAAU